rnacentral:tRNA from 1 species
CCGAGCAUAGCGAAAAAGUAAAGCACCUCCCUUACACUGAGAAGAUGCCCAUGCAAACUGGGCUGCCCGAU